AUUGAACGCUGGCGGCAUGCCUUACACAUGCAAGUCGAACGGUAACAGGUCUUUCGGGAUGCUGACGAGUGGCGAACGGGUGAGUAAUACAUCGGAACGUGCCUAGUAGUGGGGGAUAACUACUCGAAAGAGUGGCUAAUACCGCAUGAGAUCUAUGGAUGAAAGCAGGGGACCUUCGGGCCUUGUGAUACUAGAGCGGCCGAUGGCAGAUUAGGUAGUUGGUGGGAUAAAAGCUUACCAAGCCUGCGAUCUGUAGCUGGUCUGAGAGGACGAUCAGCCACACUGGGACUGAGACACGGCCCAGACUCCUACGGGAGGCAGCAGUGGGGAAUUUUGGACAAUGGGGGAAACCCUGAUCCAGCAAUGCCGCGUGCAGGAUGAAGGCCUUCGGGUUGUAAACUGCUUUUGUACGGAACGAAAAGUCUUGGGUUAAUACCCUGGGAUCAUGACGGUACCGUAAGAAUAAGCACCGGCUAACUACGUGCCAGCAGCCGCCGUAACGC
rnacentral:rRNA from 1 species